GGUUCAGACGACACAUCGGAAGGUGCCGUCCCCGCUGACACCUCCGGUCCUCUGCUCCUCUGGUCCUUCCUCAGCAGCAGUCAACAAGGCCCACAGUCUCCGAGCAAGUUCUUCGCUGAGAUGUCAAAUAUCCCCAGUAGCUGGCUGGAUACCGUCGGCCAAUCCCGUGGCCUCCGGGUCGGCCUCACGGUUGUCGCUGCUUUCGCCGGCGUGGUGGCGGUGGUAGCCGCCAUCUAUUGGUGCUGCAGGGAGAUCCGCCGGCGUUGGGAACUGGCCAACAGGCAGCGGCGUGUCCACCCCGUCAACGCGCAAGUCCUCGACGCGGCCGUCGCCCUCCCUGCGCCGCCCGCUUAAGCUUACACGCGCGGGAUUGUGGUUUGUCCAUCGCUUGAGUUUCGCAUCCGGCCUCAUAUUUUACUUUGACGCGAAUGUGUACAUGAUCCUGCUUCGUAUCCCCAAUACUGCUGACUAUGAUCUCUCUGAGAAAACAAAGUAGUGCUGUAAUGUAAUGAAAGGUACUUGCCUGUGAAAGA